UAUGGAGAGUUUGAUCCUGGCUCAGGACGAACGCUGGCGGCGUGCUUAACACAUGCAAGUCGAGCGAUGAAACUACUUCGGUAGUGAAUUAGCGGCGAACGGGUGAGGAACACGUGAGGAAUCUGCCUUCUACACUGGGAUAACUCCGGGAAACCGGGGCUAAUACCGGAUAUGAAACUUGGUGGCAUCACCGAGUUUGGAAAGUUUUUCGGUAGAAGAUGACCUCGCGGCCUAUCAGCUUGUUGGUGAGGUAAUGGCUCACCAAGGCGACGA
rnacentral:rRNA from 1 species